CAGUAGCCGCGGGAAUACGUAGGUCCCGAGCGUUGUCCGGAUUUAUUGGGCGUAAAGCGAGCGCAGGCGGUUUGAUAAGUCUGAAGUUAAAGGCUGUGGCUCAACCAUAGUUCGCUUUGGAAACUGUCAAACUUGAGUGCAGAAGGGGAGAGUGGAAUUCCAUGUGUAGCGGUGAAAUGCGUAGAUAUAUGGAGGAACACCGGUGGCGAAAGCGGCUCUCUGGUCUGUAACUGACGCUGAGGCUCGAAAGCGUGGGGAGCGAACAGGAUUAGAGACCCCGGUAGUCCCUGUCUCUUAUACA
rnacentral:rRNA from 1 species